CCCCCCCAAGGUGUGGCCCCGCCUGCUCUUUCCUCCCAUGGGGCCGCUGAGGCAUGAGCACCUGGGCACAGGUUGGGGCUCUGCAGGAUGAGGAAGACAGGCCAAUCCCUUCCCUCCCAGAAGCUGGCCGCCCAGCAGGAGGGACUGAGGCCAGACUCAUGUCCAGCAAGGAACGUGUGGUGUGUCCCCUGGGAAGUCUCUGGGCCCUGGGAAGAGGGAAGGUGCACAUCCUGGGAUGGUUGGGGGGGCCCUGUUUUGGGAGACAAAGGGGUAGAGGGUCUGUCUUGGGCCCCCCCAGACUAGCCUGAGCAGUGCAGCCACCUACUGCCCCACCUCAGAGAAGUGCAGCGGGAAGGAGGCUGGAGGUGGUGCGGCGCUGCCUCGGGUGUCUGCGUGAAUGAGCGUGGCCAAGGACCAGUGCCACCUCAUGGCAAAGAGCUCCCGCAAUGUUUGUUAGAGUGCACAUCCCUACGUGCCCACUGGCACACACACGUGCUCACAUACAUGUCCGCAUACAGGCGUACACAUGCACGCUUGCACACAUGCACACAGACCACAUAGCACACACGUGCACUGAUCACACCUGUAUAGACCAUGCACAGUACACAUACGUGCAUACACAUGCCUGCAUACAGGUAUACACAUGCACGCUUACAUGCGCACAUGCACAGAUCACACACGUGCACACACGUGUAGCUCACACACAGUAUACACACACACAAGUGCACAGACCACACACAGCACUAACACAUGCACACACAAAGUGCAUAGGCCACAGCACACACAAGUGCACAGACCACACUGCACACAUGCACACACACACGCAUGCGUGCACACUCCUCGCACUUCCAGCCUUGGAGCCCUUCUGUCUCUGGUCUUUCUCUUUGACCCUGCUGGGUGUAAGCUGCCUGGGGAGGGGCUACAGGGAGUAAUUGUGGCUUAGGGGUCGUGGAAUNNNNNNNNNNUUCUGGUCUGCAGUGGCAGAGCGCCAGGCAGAGCCCAAUCAGGGUCUCGUGCUGCCCUUCCCCUCCACAGCCUGGCAGCCAUCCAGAGGAGGGGCUCUACCAGAUGCCAAGGUACCCCGGUGUCUGUAUGGGUGUCCGGUUGGGUUCUGUGUUUGGUCUGCCCUGGAGGUGCUGGGCCCUGCUGGGAUGGGUGGCUCAGCCUCGAAUCCCAGCCCCCAGCCCAGGCAGGUGCUGCUGCCUGUUGUGGUUUCCUGGCCCAGCUUCUCCUCUCUCUGCGUAAAAUCACAGUCCGUGAGUCUUCCAGCUGCCACCACGGCUGGGACACGCUGGGGGAGGGCUCCUCCCAUGCCUCCUGCACACAGCCGUCUGAGCAGGGCAGGUGCCCAACACCCCCCACUGGAGGACACGCUGCCCCUCAGCGAUGCCCCUACCUUUUGGGGGGCCUUGUCUCAAGCCCCCACUUGGAGGCUGAAAUCACCCCAGGCACUGUGAGGGCUUCUCCAGGGGGCACCCUUUGAGCUGUGGGUCUGAUCACCCCAAGUCCCGCCCGGAGGAGAGGCACAGCCAGGGUGUGUGGUUUAAUGUUUGCCCCCUUCGGGGCUGGAGGUCUCAGUGUUUCUAGAUUCCAGACCCUGCUGCCGGAGAGACCUGCUGCCGGAGAGAAGGGGAGGAGGACUCCAGCUGGGCUCGGUCCCCCACAGUCAGGGACCCCCAUAAAGGACACCCCCUUCUCUCUAGAAAGAGCUGGGCUCUGAGCUAUUUCUAGUUGCUUCCCAGAAGCCGAGGAGCAGAAGGAGCUGUGAGAGCUUUGCAGAAACGCCCUUGUCCCCGCCGCCCUGAGCUAUGAAUGCCGUACAGAGCAGAGGCCGGGGCAUUGGCAAGAUCACAGGUUGAUGCUGCACAGCCCCAUUGACACAAACCCUCAAAGCAGACGUGAGAGGGACGGUUCACAAAGCUUGGACCUGCCGUGGAGGGUGCCCAGCAGACGUGGUGUGAGAGGGACGGUUCACAAGACUUGGACCUGCCAUGGAGGGUGUCCGGCAGACGUGGUGUGAGAGGGACAGCUCACGAGGCUUGGACCUGGUGGAGGGUGCCCGGCAGACGUGGUGUGAGAGGGACAGCUCACGAGGCUUGGACCUGGUGGAGGGUGCCCGGCAGACGUGGUGUGAGAGGGACGGCUCACGAGGCUUGGACCUGCCAUGGAGGGUGCCCAGCAGACAUGGUGUGAGAGGGAUGGUUCACAGGGCUUGGACCUGCCGUGGAGGGUGC
rnacentral:lncRNA from 1 species